CUUGUACGAUAAAUAUUACAACACAUUGAAGAGAUUGAGGAAAUCCGGUGAAUUAGUGGACCCAGAAAGUUCAACUCCUGAGGCAUCACCGACAGAAGAAUAUACAUUUACUUUCGAGGAUGAAAAAUCUGCCUAUGACUGGCUCAAACUUUUUGAUUCGCCGUGGAGCACAGUUGAAGCAAAUUGGAAAAAAACCUUCAAAAUCAGACGACAAGAAAUUUUGAACUCAAGUGGUAGCACAUCAGCGAAAACUUUACGGGCCUGGAAACUUUUUUCCCAUUCAUGUGGAUACAAUCUGAUUGAUAUUGACUUCAAUGCUCUACAUCAGAAUUGCUCACAGCUAACAGAGAAAUGGCAAGGUUUUAGAACAAAAAUUAUACCAAUUUUGAAUAAGAGGGUAAAGGAUAUUCA